rnacentral:rRNA from 1 species
CACGUAGGGGGCGAGCGUUGUCCGGAUUUAUUGGGCGUAAAGAGCUCGUAGGCGGUUUCGUAAGUCGGAUGUGAAAACUCCAGGCUCAACUUGGAGACGCCAUUCGAUACUGCGAUGACUUGAGUCCGGUAGGGGAGUGUGGAAUUCCUGGUGUAGCGGUGAAAUGCGCAGAUAUCAGGAGGAACACCGGCGGCGAAGGCGGCACUCUGGGCCGGUACUGACGCUGAGGCGCGAAGGCGUGGGGAGCGAACGGG